CCUACGGGCGGCUGCCGUGAGGAAUAUUGGUCAAUGGGCGGAAGCCUGAACCAGCCAAGUAGCGUGCAGGAUGACGGCCCUACGGGUUGUAAACUGCUUUUAUACGGGAAUAACGCGCCUUACGUGUACUGCUUUGCAUGUACCGUAUGAAUAAGGAUCGGCUAAUUCCGUGCCAGCAGCCGCGGUAAUACGGAAGGUCCGGGCGUUAUCCGGAUUUAUUGGGUUUAAAGGGAGCGUAGGCCGCAUGUCAAGCCAGGUGUGAAAUGUCCGGGCUCAACCCGGGCCUUGCAGCGCAAACUGGCAGGCUUGAGUCCGCGGAAAGCAGGCGGAAUUCGUGGUGUAGCGGUGAAAUGCUUAGAUAUGACGAAGAACCCCGAUUGCGAAGGCAGCUUGCUGCAGCGGAACUGACGCUGAUGCUCGAAAGCGCGGGUAUCGAACAGGAUUAGAUACCCGUGUAGUC
rnacentral:rRNA from 1 species